rnacentral:tRNA from 1 species
GCCGGCGUAGCUCAGUUGGUAGAGCAGCGCAUUCGUAAUGCGCGGGUCGGGAGUUCGAGUCUCUUCGCCGGCA